ACGGGAGGCAGCAGUGGGGAAUAUUGCACAAUGGGGGAAACCCUGAUGCAGCAACGCCGCGUGAGUGAAGAAGUAUUUCGGUAUGUAAAGCUCUAUCAGCAGGGAAGAAAAUGACGGUACCUGACUAAGAAGCCCCGGCUAACUACGUGCCAGCAGCCGCGGUAAUACGUAGGGGGCAAGCGUUAUCCGGAUUUACUGGGUGUAAAGGGUGCGUAGACGGUUUGGCAAGUCAGAAGUGAAAUCCCGGGGCUUAACUCCGGUGCUGCUUUUGAAACUGUCAGACUAGAGUGCUGGAGGGGCAAGCGGAAUUCCUAGUGUAGCGGUGAAAUGCGUAGAUAUUAGGAGGAACACCAGUGGCGAAGGCGGCUUACUGGACUGUAACUGACGUUGAGGCUCGAAAGCGUGGGGAGCAAACAGGAUUAGAUACCCUGGUA
rnacentral:rRNA from 1 species